CGGGAACCGACUUUCCCGCCAACCGCGCGGCUGCGCCCGCCUCUUCCGACGGAAGUGACGUCCGUCAGCAGCUGCAGAAGGGUGGAGUUGUCAAAAGUGGGGGUGGGCGGUCCGCAGGCAGAGGGGCCACCUGUUAGCCAGGCCCCGGCUCCCCUGGGGUUUAGGGCUUUGAAAGGCGGGUCCGGGCUAGGCUGGGAGUUGACCCUGCGCCCACGGCUCAGCGUCAGUUUCCUGUUUCUCUGGCACAUCUGUCACCUGGAACCUGACACUCCAGACCUCAGAGAGUAGAAUCUCACCUAAUUAGAAGUUCCAACUGAGAAACUCUCAGAGUAAGCCCAACUGACCAGUGAUAAUUAUGGGUCUCCACUCUUCCCAUUUCUGAAAGAGGGCUUUGUUGUUGGUAUUCUAUCUCUGCCCCACAGUUGGGUAUCAGAUGUGUGCUUGGGCAGGAAAGAGAAAUGUAUCUUUUUGGUUGUACGUUAUUUGUGGAGAGACCAGUGGCAAGUCCUUAGUGUCCUGCUCUUCCCUCCCCACCCUCAGUAUUCUUAUGCACAUCAGGAAACUUCCAACUCCCAGUGGCUGUGUUUUUUGCAUGAAGGCGUUCCCUGGCACCAGGAGUCUGCUGUACCACCUGCACGGUAGGUGGGAGAGCUGCUGGAUUUAUGACCCCUGGGGGAAAAGUCCUCCAACAAUGACUGACAUGAGCUGGUGUCCAAGGUUCUUGUUUGCAUGCCCCUUGGAUGGAAUAUUCUACUUUGGUUCCCAUGGUUUCCACAGUGGAAUUAAGCCCCAGUCUCCACCAUAGUAACUGACUUGUUAACACAUCUUUUGGAUACCUUUCUGUCUCAGGGUCUCAAUUUCCCAGUUUUUACCCUGUGUUUCUUACCAAAUAAAACAUCUGAAAAGUCUGGUCAAAACUUCUGUUUUCCGGGGGAACUCAAAUUAAGACAAAAGACCCAAGAUGUGUGCUUCCCUUUCAGAGUGUUGGCUGUUACCAGAAGUACUUGCCCAGCCAAGGAUUCCAGUUCCAUCUUCUUUACAGUGAGGUGGGGGUCAGAGGCUCCAGUUAUAGCUGACAGAAUUUAGGGCAAUCUUGGAAGAUUGUUGAAAUGGAGCUUCCUUGGAAGCCUGGAUGUCUACAUGGAAGAUUGAAGCUAUGAUGGUGAACUCCCUUCUCCCAACCCCAACAAAUCACCACCACUGCUUCCAGUUGGGCUUUGUGUUAGUAAAAAGUUAACUCCUACUGUGUUAACCCACUGAUAUUCUGUUGCUUUGUCUGUUAAGGCAUCUAGUGCUGACCUAACUAAUUCUGCAGUUGGCAACACUUUAAACAAACGUAUUGCCCCUGAAAAAAUUAUCCUUAUUGCUAUGAGAUUCCUGGGGAAGGAGAAAGUCCAAAAUUGCUCCAGAGACAAAUUCCAGAGGCCCCGUGAGGAAGAGCAUACGCUAUGAAAGCAGGCUGCGCAAUUUGAAUGCCAACUAUGACAUGGACUAGUUACCUAACUGUGGGCAAGUUACUUAACUUCUCUGUACUUCAAUUUGUCUAUAAAAGGGGAUGACAGUAGCAUCUACUUUAUGGGUUUACUAUGAAUUAAUAUGUGGAAAGCGCUCAGCACUGUGAUUGGC